rnacentral:rRNA from 1 species
UACGUAGGGUCCGAGCGUUGUCCGGAAUUACUGGGCGUAAAGAGCUCGUAGGUGGUUUGUCGCGUUGUUCGUGAAAACUCACAGCUUAACUGUGGGCGUGCGGGCGAUACGGGCAGACUUGAGUACUGCAGGGGAGACUGGAAUUCCUGGUGUAGCGGUGGAAUGCGCAGAUAUCGGGAGGAACACCGGUGGCGAAGGCGGCAUCCUGGACCGACACUGACGCUGAGGAGCGAAAGCCAGGGGAGCAAACGGG